UCCGUAGGUGAACCUGCGGAGGGAUCAUUACCGAGUUUACAACUCCCAAACCCCUGUGAACAUACCUUACUGUUGCCUCGGCGGAUCAGCCCGCUCCCGGUAAAACGGGACGGCCCGCCAGAGGACCCCUAAACUCUGUUUCUAUAUGUAACUUCUGAGUAAAACCAUAAAUAAAUCAAAACUUUCAACAACGGAUCUCUUGGUUCUGGCAUCGAUGAAGAACGCAGCAAAAUGCGAUAAGUAAUGUGAAUUGCAGAAUUCAGUGAAUCAUCGAAUCUUUGAACGCACAUUGCGCCCGCCAGUAUUCUGGCGGGCAUGCCUGUUCGAGCGUCAUUUCAACCCUCAAGCCCUCGGGUUUGGUGUUGGGGAUCGGCGAGCCUUUCUGGCAAGCCGGCCCCGAAAUCUAGUGGCGGUCUCGCUGCAGCCUCCAUUGCGUAGUAGUAAAACCCUCGCAACUGGAACGCGGCGCGGCCAAGCCGUUAAACCCCCAACUUCUGAAUGUUGACCUCGGAUCAGGUAGGAAUACCCGCUGAACUUAAGCAUAUCAAUAAGCGGAGGA
rnacentral:rRNA from 2 species